rfam:Ailuropoda melanoleuca scaffold1447_106, whole genome shotgun sequence.
UGCAAAGUUCAUUGUUCGACACCAUGGAUCUCCAGGUGGGUCACGUUUAGAGAUACACCAACCUGGAGGACUCCAUGCUGUUGAGCUGUUCACAA